rnacentral:rRNA from 1 species
AUUGAACGCUGGCGGCAUGCUUUACACAUGCAAGUCGAACGGCAGCGGGGUAGUGCUUGCACUACUGCCGGCGAGUGGCGAACGGGUGAGUAAUAUAUCGGAACGUACCGAGUAAUGGGGGAUAACCAAUCGAAAGAUUGGCUAAUACCGCAUACGUCCUGAGGGAGAAAGCGGGGGAUCGCAAGACCUCGCGUUAUUCGAGCGGCCGAUAACUGAUUAGCUAGUUGGUGGGGUAAAGGCCUACCAAGGCGACGAUCAGUAGCGGGUCUGAGAGGACGAUCCGCCACACUGGGACUGAGACACGGCCCAGACUCCUACGGGAGGCAGCAGUGGGGAAUUUUGGACAAUGGGGGCAACCCUGAUCCAGCCAUGCCGCGUGUAUGAAGAAGGCCUUCGAGUUGUAAAGUACUUUUGUUAGGGAAGAAAAGGGAAGUGCUAAUACCACUUUUUGCUGACGGUACCUAAAGAAUAAGCACCGGCUAACUACGUG